UAAGAGCCAAGAACAUGGCAUACUUGGAACCAAAACAACAUCAGCCUUUUUCUUUUCUUUUCUUUUUUCAAUAAGAAUGUAGUUUACUUUUUGAGGGGGAGGAAGAAGAGAUGUCAACCUAAAAGGGGCAAAAUUAGCUUGUUGCAAUUUGGCAGCUAUGAGAGAGAAGUUUGAAUAAGUAAACUAAAGACCUCUGAUUCAAAGUUCAAGAAUUCACAUUUACUUAAAUAAGGAGAAGGAGAAUCACAGAUGACUACAUGUUUUCCAAUUUCCAGGAAUAUGACAAAUCUGAAGAUAUACCUGAGGAGGUAGCUACAGCUGAACCAGUAUAAAGAGGUGUGUGCUCCCAUGGAUGAUUCAAGCCUGCCCAGCAGCGUUGAUGUAGACAAAGGCUUUGCCAUUGCCUUUGUUGUUCUUCUGUUUCUGUUCCUAAUAGUGAUGAUUUUUCGGUGUGCCAAGUUGGUGAAGAAUCCCUACGAGGCCAGCUCCACAACCACAGAACCAUCUCUGAGCUGAACUAUGAAAAAGCCUGGUGGACGCCCCCUCACAGGAGAUUUGAAAUCUUUUAUACAGACGUUUAUGAUUCAGACUUUAUAUUAUUUUACCUCCCUGUUUUUCAGCUUUCUCGCGCUUGCAUUCCACAAUAGGCACGUGAGGGUGAGUUGGGAAUAAUAAAAAGGGUGAAACACAAGCCAGUUUGUACCGUUCCUGUUCGGGGAAAUGAUUACCAUAGUCAGACAGAGACAGGUUGAAUUCAUUGAUUAAAAUAAGGCCAUGGAUAUCAAUUUUCCAGUAUCUAAUGUCCUUAAGACAGUUGGCCAUAAUUUUAUGAUGUCAUAUAAUAUCAUGAUGCUUGGUAAGGUAAACCUAAAACUAGAAUAACUCUUAGAGGUGAUUCUAGGAGGUCCCUUUAGUUAUGCAAAUAUAAGGCCAGCAGGAACCAAUUGUCCUACGAUAAGAGUCUAACAGGACAUUUUAGUGUGGGAGGUUUUAUAAAAUCUGCUGCCCUUCUCAAGCGGGCAGAGCUCUGUGGUAGAGGGAGACUAAUUUGCCUUGGGUCAAUCCCUUAAUCUCUCUCAGCCCAAACUUCCUUAUCUAUAAAAUAACAUCUGGAGGGUCUAAAAGGGGCCCUGAAAAAGACAUGUCAAUGUCCUCACCCCUGAAACCUAUGAAUGUGGCCUUAUUUGGGAAAAAAAAUCUUUGCAGAUGUAAUUAAGUUACAAAUCUCAAGAUAACCUCAUCCUGGAUUAUCCAAGUGAGCCCUAAAUCCAAUGACAAAGUGUCUUUACAAAAGACAGAAGAGGAGAAGACACAGGGAGACAGGGAAAAGGCCACGUGGAGAUGGAGGCAGAGAUUGGAGUCAUGUGACCAUAAGCUAAAGAACACUUGCCUGGAACCACCAGAAGCUGGAAGAGGCAAGGAAGAAUUCUCCCCAGAGUCUUUGGAGGGAGUACAGCCCUGCCAACACCUUCAUUUUGGACUUCUAACCUCCAGAACUGUGAGAGAAUCAAUUUCUGUUGUUUUAAGCCACCUAAUUUGUGGUAAUUUUGUAUGGCAGUCAUGAGAAACUAAUACAUAACACACGAUGAUGAUGAUGAUGAUGAUGAUGAUGAUGAUGAUGCUCAUCAUCAUCUCAAGGACCUUUUAAGAGGAAAGAAGGAAAUCAUACUCCCUACUCUCCAAAGUCUGAACUUAGGGAAAUUUGGUAGAGUGGACUAUGGCCAACUGGCAGGAAAGUCCAUAAGAGAAUUCACUAGAAGGAAAGGGGGCACCUAGGCCACUGACCAAGGCUCAACACAAGUUUGGCUGAAGAGUACUGGCUCUGGCACAGUGAUAGAGAUUAAAGCUCUCAGGUCCAGCCAUGUUGGCAAAAUGUUCUAGGCAACGCUGACCUAGCAUGUGAUUGUGAACUAAGAGGGCCAUAACCUUGGAAUCUAAGUGUGGGGCAUCACUUGGGCUUGUGCAGGGACUUGGACCAGCAUGCAGUUACUUCAGAGGAGACAUGUAUCCAUGGGACCAUGCUGGACCAGCCUUCAGCAGCAAUACCAAAUGGUAUGGAGACAUAACUCCAGCCAUGCACUGGUAGCAAAGACUUGAUAAAUGUCUCUUUUCCUGAUUCCUGGGAGAAGGACUGCUCCCCUCCUUGGCCUGAGUACGUCCUCAGGAUUAUUUGAAAAUAGAGACCAGAGAAAAAAGCCAAUGGAGAUACCAUACUUUGCUUUCGUCAGAACAGAGGGUGCUGUAUGGGUUAAACUGGAGACAGAAAAAGAGAGAGAGAGUUGAUUUGAUGAAAAGAAAUUCAGCGCAAGGUGCAGGGCAGGGUAAAAUGAAAG
rnacentral:lncRNA from 1 species